rnacentral:lncRNA from 10 species
GCUUUGAAAUGCCAUUCACCUGUGGCCCAUUUCAAGUUUCCCAUGAUUCUUAGGAAGACCCUGGCCUCCAUCUUGAAAACGGAAAAUAAAAACAGCAGACCUAUGAAGGUCGAAGGGGAAGAAAAGCUGUAUCGAUUGUUGAGAUCUGGCGACUUGUUUAAAUUUCAUCAGCCUCACUUCUAUGAACUCUCAGAGCUGAUUACCAACUCCUACCACUGUUAACCCUCAUCCAGGAACAAGCUUAUGUCUUUAACAUUCUGAGUGGGCUUCAGCAUCCUUGCAUAUGUUCAAUUCUUAAAAACCUGUUGAAAUAAAAGAUCAGGAGACAUAGGAAGGAUGCCAGAAGAGAGCGUGGCCUCACGUGUACCAGCUCUCUGCUCUCCUUUGCCUUGGGACGUUCCAUCCCUGGAAGUUUCCCUGCCCACAUCUUUGUAGAGAGUCCAUUCUCCAAGCUUCAGUGUGUCAUCUGUGAGGACCGUGACCCACCUGGUACAUCGCCUCAGGGCAUUCAUUUCAGGCUCCUUCUAAAUGGCCAAGGAUCUUGGAAGCAGAGGGAUCUGCAGAAGUGCUUGCAACACUUUCAGCCUUA